rnacentral:lncRNA from 1 species
CAUUGCUUGAUUUAGAACAAGCUUCCCGGUUUAUUUCUGUCUGCUCCUUUCUGCAGGUCUUCCACUAAUCCUCCGCUGUCCUUAACGCACCGGCAGACUGAAUGCCCUCACGUGUUGGCUGGAGGUGCCCCUCGUACGGUUUGAGACAGAGUUUGUCUGGAGCUGGGGAUGUAGGAACCUAUGGGCCAGAGGAUUCUCCCUGCAGAAAGGCUGACCAGCUGGUUUGGAGAGUCCAAGAUGGAGGUUUGGACCCUUGGGUAUUAGAAACGCCCCUUGAGCCCUUUCUCUGGUGUGGCUGACCCCACCCUGUCUCCCCACCUGCCCACCUCUCCUUGUUAGACCCCAACCUCCGCUCCUGCCCUGUCUCUAUGGACACAGCAGCCAUACUGAAUCAGCCUCCUCAUCCCAAAUCGAGGAUGCCUGACCCCAAAUUGCCGUUUGGUAAUGGAUGGUAGUGAUGGUAGCACAACAUUGUGAACAUAAUUAACAGCACUGAAUUAUGUAUGUGAAUGUGACUAAAAGGGGAC